GGAAAUUACAAAGCGCAUCCAUUCACUUGCACGCCCACGCGCACGCAGGCCCGUCGUGGGUUCAAUCGCACGACCGCGCUGUUGUCACGUCACCGUCUGAGCGGCGUUCCCAUGUAAAUGUGCAAAAUAAAUACGUGACCGCUGCCAAAUAGGCGGGACUUCCUUCCGGCUGUCAGCAAGAGUUGGGCUGUUUAUCUCGGUGCGGACACGCUAACGGUGCAACGAUCAGAUAGCCAGCUCUGACCACACGAUGCAGGCUGGAGGUCCGGGCCUUCUGGCCCUCUUGUCGGCCCUGAUGGCGCCUUUACUUUCCCUCCAGGACUUGGGAGAGCGCCCCAAGCUGCUCCUGGUGUCCUUCGAUGGCUUCCGCUGGGACUACGUGCACCGCGUGCCCACGCCAAACUUCCACAUCCUGAUGGCGGAAGGCGUGAUGGUGGAGCGGGUGGAAAGCGCGUACAUCACAAAGACCUUACCCAACCAUUACAGCCUGGUGACGGGCCUCCACGCAGAGUCGCACGGCAUCGUCGCUAACGAGAUGUUUGACCCGGUCCUUGACCGCUCCUUCUCCAUGGAGGCGGACAGCAUGUACGAGUCCCAGUGGUGGGAGCAGGCGGAGCCCCUGUGGGUCACCAUACAGAAGUCCGGAAAGCGGAGCGGCGCGGCUAUGUGGCCCGGUUCCGACGUGAAGAUCCACGGAAUGUUCCCUACUCGCUACCUCCCGCACAAUGCCUCCGUUCCCUUCGAGACCCGGGUGGAGCACAUGGUCCAAUGGCUUUCCGCUCCUGACAAGGAGGCGGUGGAUUUUGGGGUCCUGUACUGGGAAGAGCCGGAUGAGAGCGGGCACGACUUCGGACCCGAGAGCUCCCAGAUGGACGGCGUCAUCGCCGACGUGGAUGAGAAACUCGGCUUCCUGCGCAACGAGCUGAAGGAGGCGGGCCUGUACGGGAAGGUCAACCUGGUGGUGACCAGCGACCACGGCAUGACGCAGCUCUUCGCCGACAAGAUCAUCGAACUGGACGAGUACGUGAGCCGAGACCUUUACACCUGGGUCGACAAAAGUCCCGUGGUGGGAAUACUGCCCAAAAAAGGUAAGCUGGACGAGGUGUACGACAAGUUGGCCGACGCCAACCCCUACAUGGCGGUCUACCGGAAGGACGCCAUCCCCGAACGCCUCCACUACCGCCAUAACGCGAGGAUCACGCCCAUCCUAGUGGAGGCUCGGGAGGGAUGGACCAUCGUGCAGAACAGGAGCACCCCGCUCAUGCGCGGAAAUCACGGCUACGACAACACUCUGCGCAGCAUGCAGCCCGUCUUCCUGGCCCGGGGCCCGGCCUUCCGCCAGAACUACGUGAAGCCCACCAUGCGCUCCGUGGACCUGUACCCUCUCAUGUGCCACAUCCUGGCCGUCCCGCCUCUGCCCAACAACGGUUCCCUCGCCAACGUUCGGGACCUGCUGCUCCCGGAGCCCACUGCGUCCCCGCCCGCCGUACCCACCCCGGCGGGCCCGGCGGGGGCCUCCCGCUCCCCCGUGGUGAUUGGCUCCCUCCUGGGGGUCCUGCUGGUUGUGGGCUUCCUGGUGGUGUUCGUUGGGCAGGUGACGCUCAAGCAGCUGCCCUCGCUCAGACACGCCAGUCGGGAGAUGUCGCAGCCUUUGCUGCAAGAGGACUUGCACCUGUAGCCGGAUGCGAGCGCAAAUGCUGGACUUGUGCCCCCCGACCUGGAGGAGGUCCAAUCAGCAGCAGCUGGAAAGAAAAAGUGUCUUGAUGACAGGUGAAUGAAAACGCACACACACACACACACACAUUUGAUUGAUUUGUUCAAAGAAUGAUUGCCAGAUGAGUUGCAUUUGUGAAAUGCAACAAAUUUGGCCAAGAAAUGAAUUGUAUUUACCAUG